rnacentral:tRNA from 1 species
UGACUCAGUUGGUAGAGCGUGGCGCUUGCAACGCCAAAGUUGUGGGUUCGAUGCCCAC